AUACACUGGAAAAAGUGAAGCACAGAGUUGUUCAUUCAAGCUAAUAACUACCAUUGAAUACAUUGUAAAAUAAUUGACUUGGUUGUGAAAGUCUAUUUUUUUGCAUUCUGAGGUGUCAAUUUUGAUUCAGACUGAAUUAAUAACACUUCUGAAGGAAAGAAAGCAAAUAUUUUGGUUCCUCUCAAAACAUACUGAAAGGAAAUGAUGUCAUAUUUUCAAUCUGAGUCACGUGAGAAGAAGUUGGGGAGAAGUGCUUGGAGAGCUUCGUCCGUUUCUGCAUGGGGAAGAAAGAAUGAUUAACGUCCCAGCACGUCAUCAAAGAAUAAACCUGCGGUUGGAUGUGGAAAUGCAAAGAAUGCAGCGAGCAUUUUUCAAGAAGAUCUGAGAUACUGAGACACUUGAGAAUUGACCAUCGGUGGAUUAAAUAGGCGGGACCACUAAAGCAAAAACUGCCACAAUCCUUGAGUUUCUUGACCAGGUAUGAUGUGCAGUAUAUAAUUAGCCACUAACGACAGCCCUCAAUCCUUCUACAUGAAGAGGAUGUGCAGAUGAUGUACAUGGCAUUGUUAUUGUGUGCCAAGUCGUUUUGCACCAUAUUCACUAUCAACCAUUUAAAAAAGAAAAACAUGUGCCACCUAUGAGUACAUUAAUGUGUAGUAGCGCAUAGAAAAUAAUUUGUGCACCUGUCACUGCACCAAAGAUACUUUGAGACUAUAGGAACCCAAACAGGAGCCAUCCAGUCUGUCUUCAUAUUUAAAGAGGGACUACCAGUGGCCUCUGGCAGAUGUACUAGAAUGGCUUUACAUUUUCACUGCUUUCAAUUAGUCUGCCAUGGAUUCAAUAUUGACCAGGCGCACACUGUAAAAGCACUGUUUAUGUUAGAGCUGGGAAUGAAGUUGCUAGACUAGUCUACACAUCGCAUAAUAACCAUUUUGAUUGUCCCUAAAGGGUGCUGAUGCAGAUUUCAGAAGGGAGUGUAUCCUCAAAGCUCUCAUCAUCUACCUGGGAGAACAUGUUGAGGACCUUAUAAAGGAAUACAUGGUCUCCCAGAAAGAUCAAGCCGAGCAGGAGCUGGAGAGGACCAUCAUGGCAGUCUUCGUCUUCAGAGAGAAUUCAAGCCUUCUACAGCAGCCCCAAGACGUUGGGAUUGUCAUUGAUGGUGAGGAAGUCCUCAAUGAGUUGCCUUCUCUUGCAGCCGGAGUGGCAAUGCUCUUUGGACUUUGCUAUGCUCUUAACAUGGAGUAUCCACAGGGUUUCAGGUUCACCUUUGAGGCCCUUCAGAAGAUCCUGAUGGAGCUUGGUUCCAACAAGAUGACUUCCAAGAUUCACAAACUCAGUGGUGAACUCAUAACUGCACAGUAGUGUAUAUUUGUGUGUGCUUAAUGUGUGCAUGUAGUUGCCACUGGCUUCUAUUUAAGAGGUAGACCACCUCAGCAGCACUUUGUUAUACAGGGUCACUUUCAUGGAGUGCUUUUGUUGGAAUUUUAGUUCUUUGAUGAUGUUUAGAGAUGCAACAUUCCUUCAAGUUCAGAUGUGUUUGAACAGUACAACAACAGUGGAUACUUUCCGUCCAUUUAAUUUAGCUUGGUAAGCCAUAUUGUCUUUAUUUCAUUGCUCUGAUAUAGAGCAACAAUGACAUGUUUAUAUUUGUUUGUCUGAACAUGCAACUUUAUUUUGUCCUUUUGUACUUGUGAGGAAUAAAUGACUUUGAAAAAAAACUGUUGCUGGAGUGUGUUAAGUGUGAUGUGAGUGAUGCAAAUUGUUUUUGAAACCAAGUUUAUGAAAUAU